rnacentral:rRNA from 1 species
AUGGCGGAGGAAGCGUCUGCCAAGCGUCAUUGUGGCCAGACGUCCGACCAGAGCAGCAACCUCGACGUCGUUCACGUUCCCAGUCAGAAGCGCGAGUACACCAUAACCCUCAAAGGGGUUGAUCUCUGCGGCAAGGAGACACUAGAGGUCGUCUGCACCAGCGUACCAGACAAGGCCGACGAGAUGAUCGGUAGGAUCAGGAGGAGCGCCUGCGGCUCGUAUCCUCACAUCAUCGGCGUUGAUGUCGAGUUCACCAAAGAAGAUGAACCUCCGCAGAUGUCAGCAGUUCUGUAG